GUGUUUGUAUUAUGUUGGCCAUGUGUUCUGUAUUCUAAGUGUUUGUAUUNNNNNNNNNNACAGUUGUUUGGAUGUAGUGAUCUACUUUUUUCCCCCAAAGUAACUAGUUACGUAAACUAUAUUUUCCUUAAGGUAGAUUUAGUGUAGCUUAGAUUCUUCCAUUGUUUAGUCAUGUCUAGCUUGGUAAACUAUAUUUUCCUUAAGGUAGAUCUAGUGUAGCUUAGAUUCUUCCAUUGUUUAGUCAUGUCUAGCUUGGUAAACUAUAUUUUCCUUAAGGUAGAUUUAGUGUAGCUUAGCUUCUUCCAUUGUUUAGUCAUGUCUAGCUUGGUAAACUAUAUUUUCCUUAAGGUAGAUUUAGUGUAGCUUAGCUUCUUCCAUUGUUUAGUCAUGUCUAGCUUGGUAAACUAUAUUUUCAGACUUAUUUACCUAACUCUGUCUUUGUUGGGUAACUUGUCCAUAUAAGCUAUAUUUUGUAAUAAAAGUACUGACACGUUUGUGAAUUCCUACAGGCCAACGUGGAAGUCCGAAGCUUCCUGAGCGCGCCUCAUCCUAUCAAUGUGCUGGACAACCUCGUCAGGUCUCUGGAUGCUAAAUGUUAUGCCAUCGAGAAACUUUCAACUGCACUCAAAAACCUGACGACUGAUCCACAAUUCAGUGCCCCAGCUUCCACCAGACCGCUAAACAGCCUGUUGCAGCCAGCGCUAUCCAGAGACCGAGGCAUCAUGACAUCGUCAGACGUGCUGAAGUUUGGUCCCAUGCUGCAGAACGUCCUCAUGGCCGGCUCCAUCACCAAGGCAGUACAGAUGCUGGGAGCCUUGCCUGCCCUACAGCAACUCAAACUCUUCUGCUCCUCUUCCUCCUCUCAAGAUGAAGACUUCCAGAAGGAUCAGGUCUUUAUAUGCAGCAUCUCCUCCUCCAGCAAAGUGGCAAAGCUCCCAACCCCCAGCUCCUCAACCAGCGUAGCCAGUCUGAAUCUGACCAAAGACAAUGGGAUCUUUAUCUCCAAGGAGAAGACACCGCAGCAGCCAAAUACAACGACGGUUACAACCAAUCAAAUCAAAGAGAGCAGUCAAAUCAAACAAACACCCGGAGCAACAGAUCUAGACCUACCUGUCCCAGGUGAGCUCCUCUCAGGGUUCAGUAACCCAGCCUACCAGAUGACAGCCCUGGCUCCUCCCCCUCUAGAUUCAGGAAGUGACACCAGAGUGCAGCACCAGAAGCAAACUUCCUCUCAGCUCAUGCAAUUCCUGCGAACCAAUUGCAGGAACGAGCCGUUCACGGAGUUGGCCGCUUUCUUCCAGCACACCAGCUACUACCAGUACACCUCUGAUUCCACCGCCCCGGCAAUGACCUCUGACCCCCUCCUGGAAACAAAGCAUGCCCAGGAAACCCAGAAUGUUCUAGAAACUAAGAACCACAACGUCAGCGUCCCAAAGAAGGAGCUGUUCUCAGAGCUGCCAGAUAACCCGCUGAACCAAUAUGCCCCGGUGUUCACAGUAAAGCGUGUGGAGUCCGGAGGCUCUCUGAUCUUCAGCUGUAUCAUUGCCACCAAGACGGAGCUCUGGGACGUAGGAGACGUCUUUACCGAGGCGUCAAGGAGCGAUCCUUCCUCUGACGUCGUCACCACCUCGGAGAACAAGAUGUCUGCCGCUAGUCUCCAGUGUCGCAGUGUAGAGAUCUCUAAUACGACCCUCCAACCCCCAGCUCCAUCCAUCCACAGCCUACAGAUCAAAGAGGGACAUGUGACGGGGGAGGUUCAGGAAGAUAUCAACAAUAUCAGUCUGACUCCA
rnacentral:lncRNA from 13 species